rnacentral:rRNA from 1 species
UACGUAGGGUCCGAGCGUUGUCCGGAAUUAUUGGGCGUAAAGAGCUCGUAGGCGGCUGUUCAAGUCGAACGUGAAAACUCGGAGCUCAACUCCGAGCCUGCGUUCGAUACUGGACGGCUAGAGUCUGGUAGGGGGAUCUGGAAUUCCUGGUGUAGCGGUGGAAUGCGCAGAUAUCAGGAGGAACACCGGUGGCGAAGGCGGCAUCCUGGACCAAUAUUGACGCUGAGGAGCGAAAGCCAGGGGAGCAAACGGG